AAAAUGUAACCUUCAUUAAUUUUUUUAUUUUGUCACCUUCCACCAAUUGCUAUAGAUUGAGAUGAUGGUGGAAGGCAUUUAGUCUUGCCUUAGUAAAUCUACUUUGUUUAACAAAAAUUUUUGAAACUCUUAUGCUAUAUCCUGUUAUAGAUACUGAAGCUACAGCAGUUUUAAAAUCUAUUCUCAGGCCAGAUACCAUGUCAUGUGCCUAUAAUCCCAGCUUGAGCUUCUAAACUCUCAUAAAAUAAAGUAAAACAAACUUCCCAUAAUCUUUUGUCAGACCUACUUAAAGACCAACAGAACUGAUAACCAUCAAAUAAUAGAAAUGGAAGAAGAGAGAGAAAGAGAGGAGAAAAAAACCCCUGGAAGGUUAAGUUCUUAGGUGAACCCUUAUGAUUUGUUCUACUGUAACUAUCUAUGCUUCCUUAGACGAUUAUACCUUUAUAGUUGACAUGUGGUAGCGUGUCUAGAAAGUCCAAGCUUCAGAAAAGCUAAAUUCUAAUUGUUGUUCUACGGAUAGGGUUGGGGACCUACUGGCUUUGAGUUUCACCUUUAAAGGACCUUCUCAAUAAAUGGGCCCACUGUAACUCCUGCAGGGCUGGAGAGUGUCCUUUGAAAGCACAGGCUCAAGAUUCAACUACCUGGCUUCUUUGUUGUGCCUGUGAAUGAAGUUAAGUGGGACCUGGGCAAAAGGUCUCACUCAUAAUUUCACAGGACAUUUGUUCAGGACCCCAGAAGAGACUACAAUUGUAUAUACUCAACUCCCUUGCUUUUGACUUUAUAUGGUAUGGUAUUUACAUAUAACUUAUGGCAUCCUCUAUCUAUAUUUUUUAUCCCUCCAAUAAUCUGUAAAUAACCUGUAAAACUUUGAAUGUUACGUAAAUAGUUGUUACACUUUAUUGUUUAAGGGAAUAAUGACAAGAAAAAGUUCAAACACGUUCAGUAUGGACUUUUUCUUUGUUUUUGAGACAGAUUCCCUUGCAUGUCAGGCUGUCUAGCUGAAGAUGACCUUGAAUUUCUGCUCCUCCUGCCUCCACUUCCCACUUGCUAAGAUUGCAAGUAUGCACUAUAAUGCCCUGUUUACGAAGUGUUGAGGAGCUAAAUUGAGGUUUUAUGCAUGCUAGGCAGCACUCUAUCUGCUGAGCUAUAGCCCUAGUUCCGCAGAUGUAUUCUUCAAAAGACUUGUUUGGAACCUUGUAUGUAUGUAGAGGGUCAGCUGCCCCAAAUGCCCAGAGUUAGAGCCCCGUGGAAGUGGGGGUCGCCUGCAGAAGAAUAGGUAACCUGCCGAUGGGCCUGUGGCGGCGUAGCAUAUUAUGGGUGCUGGCGCAUGUGGUGAUUAAAGCCUUAGGUGACUGUUAACUUAGGCAGCUGGGGAGACAGAGGAAGAAGAGUGCCACAACUUCUCUAAAGGUAUGUACCAAACAAUCCAACUUCCUUUCACUGAGCCCCUUCUCCUGAAGGUUGGAUUUUCUUCCAGUUGCACCAUGAGCUAGUAACCAGACUUCUGGUGUAUGUAUGGCCCCUUAGUGGACAUUUAAGGUCCAAACCGUAAGUCUAUCUAAAUAGUAACCAGAUAUUGCUCCAAAAUAAGGUUAUUUAUUUCAGGGUGUUAAAGAGCAUUGUAAUAGGACUGGGCAUGCCACAGUAAACCUUGAGUAUAUUCAAGGAGAUUUGAUGCAAAGGGUGGAGGGUUAAAGCAGAAAGGGAGAAAUUUACAUAUAGUACAGAGUUCACUGGUCUUGGAGACUUGGACAAUUAUCUAUAUCAGCUCAUUGGCAGAGGGGCUCUUGCUGUCAAUGCCCUGCCCGCGGAAUGUUCUCUGAAUUGAGGUGGUCUUAAAGAAUGUUGAAAAUAAACUCUAUUGACUGUGUGUGGUGGCACAUGCUUGUAAUCCGAGCACCUAGGAGGCUAGACCAGAGGGAUUAUUUGAAGCCAGCCAGCGCUACAUAGAGUUCAUGGCUAGACUGGGCUGUGUAGCAUGACACAUGUAUCAAAAAGCCAAAUACAUAAAUGAUUAAAAAAAAACGUUGUAUCACCCAAGUUGGUGGGACUUUGAGAAACCACGUACCUCAAGCAGGUAGGCCUGAGCCAGCUCCGGCUUUCUGUUUGAGUCUGAUAAGAACAAAUUCUUGGUAUCCAUAGCUCUCAGGGUGAUAACCAGUUAGAGGAGGGCCCGAGGCUGGUGGUGGCUGAGAGGCUGUUCAUGGAUGGUGAUAACGAGGAACCAGGGCUGCCUGGAGAGCAGGCUCAGGAAAGUUGGUUCUUCAGAACUGGCUCAGGGUGUUUCCUAAGUAGUCACUGGGAUCUAUGCUGGAUGCUGUGGACCAGGAAGAACUGGUUGAUCCUUUCAGAUUUCCUUUUUAGAAACCAAGCCCAAGAUAAAAUUCUACCUCACACUCACAAGAAUAACUGUCAGCGAGGAAACAUAAAACAAGCACUGGCAAGGAGUUAGGGAAUUUAAAACCCUUAUGGGGUGCUAGUGGGGAUGUAAAACGAUGCAGGUGUUUUGGAAAGUAGCAUGUUUGUUCCUCAAAGUGUUAAAUAUAGAAUUACCAUUCGACCCAGAAAUUCGACUUCUUGGAUUAUGCAAAGACCUGAAAUAGCGUGCCCAUACCUAAAGGAAGUGGAAGCAGGGAAUCGAGAGAGGGUGCAUUUUUUAGUUUUAAAAGCAUUGUUCACAGAGCCAACAGAUGGGAGUGACUCAAUCCAUUAACGGAUGAUGGUGUGCUCGUGAGUUUUCUGCUUCGGUAACAAACAACUGUGAUGACUUAAUGAGAAAAUGUUUACUUUGACUCAUAAUUUUGGAAAUCUCAUUUCGAGUACUUCAAGUAGAAUCUUGGAAGAUAAAGAUGGAGAAAAGAAGGACUCAGAGUUCCAAGGUCUCCUUCAAGUGCAUGACUGAAUGCCUAAAGAUGGUCCAUUAGCCCUGGGUGUUACAGGUUCUGCUAACACCAGCUGUGCUACAAGCUGGGGACUAAACUUUGAGCAUGUGGCCCUUUGGCAAAUCUCCAAAACUUUAGCAGAUGCAAAACGUGCUUUUUUUUUUUUUUUCAGCCAAAAUUUAUUUAUUUCUUGCACUUGAAGUAUUCCUCGAUGACAUCCUUGGCCUGAGAUUCUUUGCCAUAGUCCUUAACCACUACGCAACUGCAACCAACCACCUUCCGUGGUUUGCCCUCUCGAUCGAUUUUACAGAGGCCUACCCAUUCCCCUAGUUUCUUGUUGUCAUCAACCUUUAUCAGGUUGAUUUGGUGCUCAGCACAAAGUGCCUCCACCAGCUUGACAUACAUGGGCUCAUCACAGUUGGAUGCGAGCACACACAGAUGGGCUUGGCGCUUGUCUAAGGCUUUGGCAGCUUCGCGUAUGCCACGUGCUAGGCCAUCGUGGAUGAGGGCGGUCUUCAGCACCUCUUGUAGAGCAGUGUUGACGUCCAUUACACCUCCAGCAGCUAUGCCUUCCUCGGCCAUGGCGGUGAAUCACGGGUGACACCGAAUCUUGAACGCACCCGAGCUUCCGCCUCCGCGCAAGUCGGCGGCGGCAGGGGAAAAGCUUUUUUUUUUUUUUUAAGGCCGAGUAUUAUUCAGCCCUUAAUAAGAAGGAAAUGUUGAUACAUUAAAACAUAGAUGAAUCUUGAGGACAUGCUGCUAAGUGAAAUAAGCCUGUCCUGAAAGAACACUACCAUGUGAUGCCCUUUAUGAUGAGGUCCUCAGAGCAGUUCAAAUGUAUGGGCAGAUGGAAAGUGUGUUAAUGGCUACUCGCUAUGUCGGAGUAAAAGAGGAACCGGGAGUAGUGUUUUACAGGCACAGAGCUGAGCCUUUCCAGGACAGGAGCAUUUUAGUGAUGAGUUAUUCUUAUUACCUUUCUUGUUACUGUGAACACCUAUCUGGCUGGAAGCAUCAUGAGGGAGGAUGGUUUUGGCUCACAGUUUAAGGAGAUAGUCUGUUGUCUCAGGGAGGGCAUAGGCAGGAGGCCAUUUGGCUUGGGGAGUGUGUAUCAGCUAUGUUGUAGUGUAAGUAUUAAGUGUCCCACAGUACUCACUUGGUUUCCUGAUUGGGGCACAGGGAAGGUUGUGGGCCUUUUAAAAGGUGGAGCCUCUCUGGAGGAAGUAAGCCACUGGAGGGCAAGCCUUGAGAUUCUAUAGUACAGCCUGUUUUCUGUUUCUUCUCUGCUUGUGAUUUUGGAUGAGAUGUGACGGGCUGGCCUUCUGCUCUUGGUACUGUUCCCUGCUAUAAGGGACUGCAUCCCAUUGAACGGUAACUGUGGGCCAAAACAAAGUUUUCCUCCCUUAAGUCGCUUCUUGUCAGGUGUGUGUUCACAGUAAUGAGAAAAGAAACCAAGCUCCUUGCUGCUGUGACUCCCACUGUGAUGAGCUGUACCCACACACUUAGCCAAAAUAAAUCAUUUCUCCUUUAAGUUGCAUUUAUUAGGGUAUUUUUAUCACAGCAAUUAGAAAAGGAAGCAAGAAAACUGGUGCUGGAGUGGAGCUGCUCGCAGUGUGCAAAAUGCAUCCCAACUAUAAACAUUCCUGUAGUCUU
rnacentral:lncRNA from 1 species